rnacentral:rRNA from 1 species
UUCCAGCUCCAAUAGCGUAUAUUAAAGUUGUUGCGGUUAAAAAGCUCGUAGUCGAAUCUGUGUCCCGCGCCGCCGGUUCAUCGUCCGCGGUGUUAACUGGCGUGUCGCGGGACGUCCUGCCGGUGGGCUAAGCUCGCGAGGGCGGCGCCCAACUCAAUCCCGCCGCGGUGCUCUUCACUGAGUGUCGAGGUGGGCCGGCACGUUUACUUUGAACAAAUUAGAGUGCUUAAAGCAGGCUAAAACUUCGCCUGAAUACUGUGUGCAUGGAAUAAUGGAAUAGGACCUCGGUUCUAUUUUGUUGGUUUUCGGAACCCCGAGGUAAUGAUUAAUAGGAACGGAUGG